rnacentral:rRNA from 1 species
AUGACUAUUAAUGAGAGCCAGGGUCAGGCGCUAUCAAAGGUUUGCAUUUAUUUGCCAGAACCUGUCUUCUCGCACGGUCAGUUAUAUGUUGCUAUGUCAAGAGUGACUUCUCGCGCUAGUCUUAAGUUUCGAAGGUUCGUCAAGCUACAGCACCUGGCGCAGUUAGCUGGGAACCUGACAAGCGCCGGGAUAUGGACAGGGUACGGAUUCAUCUCCACACCACGCAACGACUACGUCCUGGUAAGACAACACACAAUUGCAUCCCUUCUCUACUUCUCCUAG